rnacentral:lncRNA from 1 species
UGUGUCCCUAUCAGCGUUCCUCUCGUAUCACCAGGAAAGCUGUGACCCGGAUGAGCCGUUCAGUCUCCUUCCUGCACACUAGAAUACCUUUGCUGAGCUCCUGGGUGGAAAAAAAAAAAGGGAGGAUUUACCUGAGUCCAGCCCGUCUGCAUGUGGGUCGGAACGUGUGUGUAUCCCAUUAACUCUGUCCUCGCUGCUCUCAAGAUGUCCCGCACAAAUGAUUUUAUUUUUUUUUUGUAAGAAAAUAUAUUUUACUAGGCAGUUUUAUGAGAGCUGACAAAAUGCCUCAUAAAUAACCCAG